GAGUUUGAUCGUGGCUCAGAUUGAACGCUGGCGGCAUGCCUUACACAUGCAAGUCGAACGGCAGCAUGAUCUAGCUUGCUAGAUUGAUGGCGAGUGGCGAACGGGUGAGUAAUACAUCGGAACGUGCCCUGUAGUGGGGGAUAACUAGUCGAAAGAUUAGCUAAUACCGCAUACGACCUGAGGGUGAAAGUGGGGGACCGCAAGGCCUCAUGCUAUAGGAGCGGCCGAUGUCUGAUUAGCUAGUUGGUGGGGUAAAGGCCCACCAAGGCGACGAUCAGUAGCUGGUCUGAGAGGACGAUCAGCCACACUGGGACUGAGACACGGCCCAGACUCCUACGGGAGGCAGCAGUGGGGAAUUUUGGACAAUGGGGGCAACCCUGAUCCAGCAAUGCCGCGUGUGUGAAGAAGGCCUUCGGUUGUAAG
rnacentral:rRNA from 1 species